UACGGAGGGUGCGAGCGUUGUCCGGAAUCACUGGGCGUAAAGGGCGCGUAGGCGGCCUGAUAAGUCGGGGGUGAAAUCCUGCGGCUUAACCGCAGGGCUGCCUUCUAAACUGUCAGGCUAGAGUACGGUAGAGGCAGAUGGAAUUCCCGGUGUAGCGGUGGAAUGCGUAGAGAUCGGGAAGAACAUCAGUGGCGAAGGCGGUCUGCUGGGCCGUUGCUGACGCUGAGGCGCGACAGCGUGGGGAGCAAACAGG
rnacentral:rRNA from 1 species